rnacentral:rRNA from 1 species
GAUGAACGCUGGCGGUCUGCUUAAUGCAUGCAAGUCGAGCGCUGCCUUCCGCUUGAGUGGGGGACGGGUGAGUAAAGCGUGGAAUUCUGCCUUGGUGACGGGGACACCACUGGGGACGGUGGCUAAAACCGGAUAAUCCUUUGGGUAGGCUUUUUCUGCCCCAGGAAGAGCUCGCGGCUGAUUAGCUCUGUGAUGAGCCUGCAGCCCACCAACGCAUUGAUCGGUAACUGGUCUGAGAGGACGAUCAGCCACACUGGGACUGAGAGCAUGCCCCCACUCCUACGGGAGGCACCAGUGGGGAAUUUUCCCCAAUGGGCGAAACCCUGACUGAUCAACACCGCAUGAAGGACGAAUGCUCUUGCGUUGCAUGCCUCUUUUCUGCCGUAAGAAUCUCUGACCGUUCCUGAGGAAACAACCACGGCUAACUCCCUGCCAACAACCGCGGUAAUACUGAGGAGGCAAGCGUUAUCCGGAAUUAUUGGGCGUAAAGCGUCCGCAAGUGGCGAUUCAAGUCUGCUGUCAAAGCACAGGGCUUAACUCCGUUAAAGCAGUGGAAACUGAAUAGCUAGAGGUGCCGUAAUGCUGCAGGGAAUUCCCGGUGUAGAGGUGAAAUGAAUUUACAUCGUGAAGAACAUCUGUGGCGAAAUCGCUCUACUGAACGGUGACUG